CUCGACGGAAACUAGUGGGGUCACCGGAGCUUGACGGUGCCGAGGAGCUGGAUCUGAUCAGGGGGUUCUGUCCGGCGGAUUUGGAAGCCGAUCUCCUCCUACGCGACCCUCUCCUUCCUCGAUCUCUCUAGCCUUCGUCGCCGAUCCUGAGGAACUCAUCGCUGGAUCUCGACGGUGCCAAGGAAGACCGGGCUGCCUUCGGCCGAAGGGUCUCUGCUCCGGUGGUGCUUGCGGCCGAUCGCCGAAGGUGCGGCGGCUAGGGCACGGUGAAGGACCAGAUCUUGCGUCGACUCCCAACCAAUCGCCUACCGAAGCUUGGAGAGGUGCCCUAGUCCGGAUCUGUAUCACUCGAUCGCCGGCGUGGGUUUUGGUUGGAGAUGAUGGGAUCAAUUGAGUUGCCGAGCAAAGGCUUGAAGGUUUAUUGUGUGAUCCAUGAUCUCCAUUGAUUGAACCCUUCUUGAUCCGAUCAGGAGGUGAGGUCUGUGCUUGCUGUGGAGUUUCUUUGGUUCCGGCAGCUACUCCAUCGAGCAGAACACUUUGUUCCAGCAUCAAUAGGGGGCUGUGAGGUUAAGGUUGAGGCCGUCAGGAGAGAUUCCAGUCGCUAGCCCCUUUGUCGCGAGGAUUUUCUUUGUCGGAUUUAUUCUGCUUUUGCAUCUUAAAUACUUGUAUUGUUGGUUGUAUUGUGGACAUUGAACAUUCGGGUUUACUACUAUUGUUUUCCGCUGCAGAUAUUUUCAUUACUUCGUGGAUUUGAUUUU